CUAGUACUCUCUCCGGCCGGAAAUACUUGUCAGAUAAAUAAAUGUAUCCAGAUGUACUUUCAUUCUCGAUACAUUCAUCUUUAUUCAUUUUUGCAAUAAGUAAUUUCAAACGGAGGGAGUAUUUU
rnacentral:pre_miRNA from 1 species